UCAUAAAAUUUUUUUGUGUAUACUUUCCUUUCAUUUUUAAAAUAAGAAAAAUCAUACCUUGGUGUUUAAAAACCGCAACACUGUUUUGCUUUUCAGAGGUGGGCACAGAACAAUUGCAAAUAGGUUGAGUGAAAUCGUGAAACAGCGAACAGAAGAAAGAAACUGACAUUUGUUUGGGUCAGCAGAAGAACGAAAUAAAAACAAAAAAGAUUUGGUUAUCCGAAUACCAGUAAAGGCAGAGAACUUUGUCUUGCAGCUGCUAGUACAUACAUAUGUGCAUAUAUGUAUAACAAUCGUUGCAUACACUACCGAGACUCACUGUGAGCAGCCAAGUUGACAAGUGGAGAGAGUUAGCAAUGUGUGCCGGAAGAAUAAUACACCAUUGAGAGCACUGUUAUUAUUGGAUAUUGAGUGGAGCUACGCUCACCUGGAGGCACGACAGCGAAAACAAAAAGUUUACAUUUGAUUUUGAUGUGGAAACCAAAUCAAAGGGAGGAACAAUUUUCAGUUAGUUUUUGUUGUUCCGCGACUGCUGUGAAUUGGAUAAUAAACGCGCUUGUCUCACGGACAUAUCAUGGUGCCAUAUUAAAUGAGAAGAACACUAAGAAAUAUUAACUAAAUUGGCAGCCGUGGAAAGAAUAAAAAAUCGUUUGAAAAAUAAAUGAAUUAAUAAAGUGAAACAAAUUUCAAUAAAAUUAAUGCGUAAAUUGAUAUUUCAUAGGAAAACUUUUGAGCCAAAUCGUAUGUAAACACUACUAUGAAAUUGGAUGAAAUUGUUGCGUGGUAUCAGAAAAAGAUUGGCACCUACGAUAAGCAGCAAUGGGAGAAAACUGUGGAGCAGAAAAUUUUAGAUGGUUUUAACAGUGUUACACUUAAAAAUGCAAAGCUCAAGACAGACCUGAUUGAUGUCGAUUUAGUUAGAGGCUCUACAUUUCCAAAGGCCAAGCCAAAACAGUCUCUUCUAACUGUGAUACGUUUGGCCGUGUUGCGGUACUUCUUCUUGCCCGUCUUUUCACGAUGGUGGG